rnacentral:sRNA from 1 species
GGGGAAGGAGGGGCGGGACAAAGAGGAACCAGCGAAGGGUCCAGGCCUGCGGUGAUGGUGAGGGAGGUGGCAGGUUGACGAGGGGCUGGACAAGAACGGCCGACGAAGGAGAAGAACAGAGGAGGGCCCGGGCAGGGCCUGGCAGAGGGCAUGAGGCACUCCGAGGGUCUCCGGCUGUCACCUGAGUUCAGGACCAGCACCAGGAUCUGCAGUGGGCCCCUGGCUGGGCACACCUCAUCCCAGCCUCCCCCUACCCCUGGCCCCCAUGAGUCUCCUCCUCCUGGGCUUCCAGGCUCUGCUGGUCAGACCUCCCUCCCUGCCCAACGGG